GGCGCCAUGGUGUAAUUGGUAACACGUCCUCGGCUGGUGGAGCUCCUCAUCUGCCUCCUUCAUCCCCUGGGUGUUGGUCGACCUAUUUGGGACUGGAAGAUGUACGUACUCCAUUUCUCAGAGGAAGACUCUGGUUCAACUCCAGGUGCUGCUG